rnacentral:rRNA from 1 species
CCUACGGGAGGCAGCAGUGAGGAAUAUUGGUCAAUGGACGGAAGUCUGAACCAGCCAUGCCGCGUGCAGGAAGACGGCUCUAUGAGUUGUAAACUGCUUUUGUACAAGGGUAAACCUGAAUACGUGUAUUCAGCUGAAAGUACUGUACGAAUAAGGAUCGGCUAACUCCGUGCCAGCAGCCGCGGUAAUACGGAGGAUCCAAGCGUUAUCCGGAUUUAUUGGGUUUAAAGGGUGCGUAGGCGGAUUGAUAAGUUAGAGGUGAAAUGUCCGAGCUUAACUCGGGAACUGCCUCUAAUACUGUUGAUCUAGAGAGUAGAUGCGGUAGGCGGAAUGUAUGGUGUAGCGGUGAAAUGCUUAGAGAUCAUACAGAACACCGAUUGCGAAGGCAGCUUACCAAUCUAUAUCUGACGUUGAGGCACGAAAGCGUGGGGAGCAAACAGGAUUAGAUACCCCAGUAGUC